AGAGGGGACAGUGUUUAGCUCAUUCUGAUUUGACUCUGACCCAGGAGCUUCAUCCGCAUCACAGGCUGCACGCUCGCUCUAGCUCAUGCUUAGGGAGCCGUCAGCCUGCUGGCUGGAGGGCAAGGGGUCCUCACCGCUGGAGGGGAGGCACUCAGCGGUCAGCAGAGCAGGUGUGGGUAGGUGUUUGGAACGGAAGUAUAUGUUGCCCAGCGGAAAAAAUCAGAAGAUUCUUGAAACUUAAAGAAAAAAAAAGUAUCAAAGCCAGAAGCUUUGGCGGUGGGAGAUUCUCUUCAGCGCUUUCCCACCUCUCACAGCAGGGUGAAGGCUACGAGGUUGGCAGCUGAAGUUCAUCUAGUCUCUUGAGGAGCAGCGUGGCUAUGCGUCUCGUCCCCUGAAAUCUGCCUUUCCCUGGCAGAGGGCAGAUUUCCCGAGAUGGGCUUGAGUUCCUCUUUUUCCUCUGGUCGGGAAAUUCUGAAAGCAUGAGCAUAGAGACCCUCCCAGCAUCCAGAGUCACAAGCCAAGUGAGUGAGCGCUGGUAGGGUGGCAUCCUGUCACACCAGCAGACCCUGGCCUCGGAGUCUGUUGUUGGCAGAGAGUGAGAAGACAGGUCAAAGAAGAAACAGAAAUGCUACAAAGUCCUUGGCAAGACACUCAGUAUCACGAGUCACAAAAGAAAUGCCAACAGCAAGGAUGUACCACGUGACACCGGCAUUUAAAGAAGAGAAAGAAGAGAGCAGGUGUGAGAAUGAUGAGAAUGUGGCUUGGUGGUGGCCUGGCAUGUGCAAGGCCCUGGGUUUAACCCCCAGUACAAUAGGAAAAAGAAGCUAAACCAAGAUGGCGGGUGAGCCAGCGACAUAGGCAGGAUACACUCCAGGGACCCGGGACCUGGUCAUUGGCUGUGACCCUCUCGCAGCAGUGCCGUUCACGGCAGUUGUAGAAGGAGGAAACUCAAAUAUCCAAUGGAUACAUGCAAACUGUGGAACAUCUUCGCUGGAAUAGUGCCCACUUGUGAAAAUGAACGCGACACUGAUACGCGCUGUAGAAGAUGAACCUCGAGACAAUGUCCGGUGGAAGAAACCAGACACCAAAGGACGAAUGUCACAUGACUGCGUUUAUGAAAAGUACUCAGAACAGAUUUGGAGCCCAGCUCGUUCUCCAGUCCCUCAGCAGACUCCUGCGCGCCAAGGCCCAUUACCCAGCCCGAGCUCACACACUUUUCCUGGAUUCACUUUCCCUGUCUCUCACCUGCACUUCCUGGAUCUACGCCCACACAAGAUGCCUGUGCACACGCCCUUGCCUCAGACCUUAGGUGAACCCGAACUAAGACAUGGCAAAAGCAGAGAGUUUGAAGCCAGAGGAAAGGGAGAUGUUGCCAGACUGGGGAAGUAGCGGGUGUGGUAGCCUUGAAAGAAGCCCCUGAAAGGGAGUGGAAGGGAGAUGAUGGCUGAGGGCUAAGGGCAGAAUGAGGCAGAGACUGCGAGUGAGCACUGCUUUGGGGAAUCAGGAGAAGCUGGGAGAGGGCCCUUUCAAUUUUCAGACUUUCCCUUUCUUGAAUCCUCAUUGUGGUUGUACCCUGCCUCCAGUCCUCCACAGAGAUCUCCAGAAUCCUCUGGGAGGUGGUGUAAUCUUGUAAAUUUCCCCUGAUGACUGUUCUUACACUCAAAGGCUUGGCACGCUUCAGAAGCCUGGAUCUCCCCCUCAACAGCGUAACACAGCCCCUGGGCCCAUGCUGCGCUUGGAGGUGCUGUUGGCUGCUUUUAAGUUGGCCUUCCACAUCCACCCAGCCACCCCCAGCAGUGAGGUAAGCAGCAGCUGGUGGCAGAAAAAGAGACACAGAUAACAUAGGCGUGUGUCCCAAGUCAGUCAGGAAGCCCAUGGGGGCCUGAAACUGGGAUGCAGAAAAUAGAUCUCCCAGGUGAAGCCUCAGGCUGACAAGCUAAGCUACACGCUUCCAGAGGAGAAGGAGAAAAGGAAUUUUUCUCUCUGGUCUGUCUGGACCUAUGGUUACCAGCAGCACAGACGGAAGUGAGGAGCCAGGUGCUGUCUUACCAGGUAGAAAAUGUCCUCUGGUUGGCCUGGGCCCCACUGCUAAUGGCAGGUUCUCAGAAUUCCUGUUCUGCCUCGGGGCCUCUCAGAGUAGCUGAGGGUUGACCAAUCCUAAUUCCAAGGCAGGAGGCCAGGGGCUAGAACGGGUAAGAGGCAAGGGAGGGUAGAGAGAGUGGACGGGCUGACUUUCCCUCUUCAGGGACAAAGGACACUAGCCCUGCCUACAGGAUGACAGGGAAUGGAAGAAAAGGUGUGUAUUGUGUGUGUUUGUGUAUGUGUGUGUGUAUGUGAUAUAAAGAUAUAAAAGGCCCUUCAGGAUCAACAACAUACAUCAUCUUCAUGAAGUUAGGACAAUAAAACUGUAAAUUUUUUUUUUUAAAUUUAAAGUUUGAAUAAACAAGAAGCAGACAUAA